UACACUAGCUGGGCUAGGGCAGAAGUUUGGAUAUGGCAGCUCGAUUAGCCAUCCAUUUUCCACACCUAUUGCUCCACUAGAUCCAACCUAUGCGUGCCGUGCCGACUGCCGCCUAGCUCACAUGACCCGAGCCAGACAGGAGUUUGGAACUUCUAGAUGGAUGCUAGCUAGGCCACAUCGACCGGCCAGGCAAAGAAACUGAACCCACGUACCGGUGUUUGGAGCAUUAGAUAAGGCAGGCUAAGCUUGUUUCGUGCGAAUAAUUGGCCAGCCAAGGAAAGAAUAUCCAUCGGCCAUUAUUAAGAUCACAUGCAUGCAUGCAUGCGUUUGGACAAAUUAGUGGAUAGGACAUGGAAGGCUAAGGCUUGAUCUUGUUUAGCAUGACAUUGACCAAGAAACCCUUAUUUCAGACGGCCGACGGCCAUACAUAUAUAUGGGUGGUCCAUCCCAAGAACACGACAGCCGAUCAGAUAGAUGCUUCCGGUAAGAUGGCAUGGACAAAUACGAUUGAUCUUUUCCUUUGAUGAUGGAUCGGCAUAUACGGCAUAAUCUUCGAUCGAUCUAUCUCGAUCAUACUUCCAGUGGAGUAAAAUAGUCGAUCGGCCAGCGUCGUCCAGAGCAAGCAAACAACAGCAUAGUAAUCCGUUGAGCAUGUGUGUGUGUGUGAGACCUAGGCGACGAGGGAGUUGGUGUUGUACAAGCAUGUGCUAAGCAUAUUACGCACCUCGCAGGCUAUCAUCUUGGACGGCCGACCGAACGAGGAGAUGGCAUAUGCUCCACGUUAAUUCCACCGUAUUCGUUUGGUGCUUUGUACUGGAAGUGUGUGUGGUGCUUGUUGUAUAUAUACGUGUAUAUACUUGGCGUUUGGUGUGGCUAUAUUAUUCGUUGG
rnacentral:lncRNA from 1 species